GGCUUCUUCAUCCUUAAGGACAGGUUGCUUUCAUAUUCUGCCUCUAUAGAAAGAGGAGGCAGAGUAAACCGAUGCCAUGUACACUUCAGUCCAGGCUGCUGUACCUAGUCUGUAUUGUGAAUGGGGAGAUCUUG
ensembl:snoRNA Gm25973 small nucleolar RNA SNORA51